UACGGGGGGGGCAAGCGUUGUUCGGAAUUACUGGGCGUAAAGGGCUCGUAGGCGGCCAACUAAGUCGGAUUUGAAAUCCCCAGGCUCAACUUGGGAACUGCAUCCGAUACUGGAUGGCUUGAAUUCGGGAGAGGGAUGCAGAAUUCCAGGUGUAGCGGUGAAAUGCGUAGAUAUCUGGAGGAAUACCGGUGGCGAAGGCGGCAUCCUGGACCGACAUUGACGCUGAGGAGCGAAAGCUAGGGGAGCAAACGGG
rnacentral:rRNA from 1 species